CCAGCCACGCCUUCCAGCCCAGAGCAAAGUUUUCAGAAGAUAAGAACUCUGUGGUUUUCAGCAAGGAGACAAUAAGAAGUUGUUCCUAAUUGGCUUCCUGUCGCAGUCCUCAGGGCACCUGCUGGUUCCAGCCUGGAUCCAGCCUACCUUGACCUUUGCCAGUUGGCACCGAUGUGCAGAUAACCAGUGAAGCCCAGGAGCAAAUCCUCAAAUCCAGACUGUUUCAGCUCCAUGCUGUGCCGUGAGAAACCUCUCUGCAGGUCCCUACUUG
rnacentral:lncRNA from 1 species